UACGAAGGGUGCGAGCGAUGUUCGGAAUAACUGGGCGUAAAGCGCGUGUAGGCGGGGAGGUAUGUCUGAUGUGAAAUCCCGGAGCUUAACUCCGGAAGUGCAUUGGAAACUGCUUCUCUUGAAUCUUGGAGAGGGUGAUGGAAUUCCUGGUGUAGAGGUGAAAUUCGUAGAUAUCAGGAGGAACACCGGUGGCGAAGGCGAUCACCUGGACGAUGAUUGACGCUGAGACGCGAAAGUGUGGGGAGCAAACAGG
rnacentral:rRNA from 1 species